rnacentral:rRNA from 1 species
UACGAAGGGGACUAGCGUUGUUCGGAAUUACUGGGCGUAAAGCGCUCGUAGGCGGCUUUGUUAGUCAGGGGUGAAAUCCCGGGGCUCAACCUCGGAACCGCCUUUGAUACUGCAAGUCUCGAGUCCGAUAGAGGUGGGUGGAAUUCCUAGUGUAGAGGUGAAAUUCGUAGAUAUUAGGAAGAACACCGGUGGCGAAGGCGGCCCACUGGAUCGGUACUGACGCUGAGGUGCGAAAGCGUGGGGAGCAAACCGG